GAAGGCAUCUAUCAAUAUUAUUUGAAGGCUUCGGCAAUUCAGUGGGUGGAUACAUUGAUAACAAGCUGGUUGUUUCCUUGGUGAUUUGGGACAAAAGAGGCAUAUCUGUCGAGAUGGGGUUUUUUAAAUAAAAUUCAGACUAUUCACAUCCAAGUAAUCACACAUAUUUCCACAACAGUAGCCUCUUAUUUUCCACUUUCGAAAUACAGUACUGCACUAAGCUGUUUCUAUUUGGCAGGGAAAUGUGCCAAUCUCGCUUUCUCCUUCAAGUUAACAGGAUAGUCUGAUUUUCGCAGGAAGGGAAGGCCUCAAUGCAAAUUCUCAUUUUCUCUGUAUAACAUUUAUGCAAUAAAGAAUGAGUUUUCAUUUCUGUAUAGCUGGGAAUUGUAAUGCAUUAAAUGCAGGUGAGAGCGUUAAUCUCUCAAGCUGCUAAGAAAUGAAAUGUCACAUGGAGCAACUUGUUCUCUGCUGCUGCUUUUUCUGUUAAGAAUUUUAUUCCCAAUAAAAUUCUGCCCUCACAAGGCAUCACAGCACUUCUGAGUGUGCCAGACUGCAGCACAUCUUCUGGCAUCCAUGCUUGGGGAUUUAGAUAUUACAAUUGCAAAUGUACAUCAUUCUGUAUUACUUCUCUCACUUUUUAAAUCCAUCCGUUCAUAUAUUAUCACUGCAACCUGAAAUUUCUAUAUUUCACCAUAUAAAAUUCUAGUCAGAAGCAAUUCUAGAUAAGAGAUUCGGAAGUUGUGGGGAGACAACUCCCCUUCAAAUGGCCUGUUGCCCCAGGCACCUGUUGUUUAUCCAGAAUUUUCUGUUCCCUCUGAAGCUUGUAGUGUACAGGCCAAGGAGCAUUACUUACAUCUGCCGCCAAAUCUCUCCCACCCCAAAAAAACCCUUUGCAUUUGAAAAAGAAAUGAAACACAUUGAAAUAGGUUUUGCACAACCUGGAUGGUUUGGGUAAUAGCACUCUUCAUAGGUAAAGGUAAAGGGACCCCUGACCAUCAGGUCCAGUCAAGGCUGACUCUGGGGUUGCGGCGCUCAUCUCGCUUUAUUGGCCGAGGGAGCCAGCGUACAGCUUCCGGGUCAUGUGGCCAGCAUGACUAAGCCACUUCUGGCAAACCAGAGCAGCGCAUGGAAACGUCGUCUACCUUCCCGCCGGAGCAGUACCUAUUUAUCUACUUGCACUUUGACGUGCUUUCGAACUGCUAGGUUGGCAGGAGCAGGGACCGAGCAACGGGAGCUCACCCUGUCGCGGGGAUUCGAACUGCCGACCUUCUGAUCGGCAAGUCCUAGGCUCUGUGCUUUAACCCACAGCACCACCUGCAUCCCUCAGCACUCUUCAUAUGGAGGGUCAAAAGGGUCUAGAAACCAAACCUUAUAAGGAACGGUUGAGGGAGCUGGGUAUGAUGUUUAGACUGGAAAAGAGGAGACUGAGAGAAGACAUGAUCACCAUCUUCAAAUAUCUAGAGAGCUUCCACAUGGAAGAUGGAGCAAGGCUGUUUUCUCCUGCUCCAGAGGGUUGGGUCCCGAAACAAUGGCUUCAAGUUACAAGAAGGGAGAUUCCGACUAUAUAUGAGGAAGCACUUUCUGACAAUAAAAGUUGUCCAACAGUGGAACAGACUCCCUUGGGAGGUGAUGGACUCUCCUUCCUUGGAGGUUUUUAAGCAGAGGUUGAAUGGCCAUCUGUUAUGGAUACUUGAUAUUCCUCCACUGCAGGGAGUUAGACUAGAUGACCCUUGGGAUCCCUUAUUAUAACUUGACUUGUAUCCAAAGUAGCAAGAAGGCUCUUUUUCCAUUAGUGCAAGGAUUUUACCCUUGAACAGUGGAAAUUCCCCUCCUCUGCUCCCACCAUGCUUCUCCUAAAUCUGUUCAGGGGAUUCCCCCACACCGCCAGAGGAGAUCCAGAGAGGGCAUGACACAUGCACAGAGCAAGGAGAAGGGAAGAAAGUUCCAUUGCACAAGCAUAAAUCCUUGACCCAACAGAACCAGGAUACCAGCUCAAAAGACUAAAUAGAAAAUGUUUCUCUAAGUCAGGCUUCCUUAAGCUCGGACCUCCAGAUGUUUUUGGCCUACAACUCCCAUGAUCUCUAGCUAGCAGGACCAGUGGUCAGGGAUGAUGGGAAUUGUAGUCUCAAAACUUCUGGAGGACUGAGUUUGAGGAGGCCUGCUCUAAGUUCUCAAAGGCACUUCGACAUCCCACGGAAAUGCAUUGGCUAUAUGAACUGUGCAUCGUGUGCUAAGACUGUGCUUUAGCACUCAAUAAACUUUUUAAGUAGGAGCUGUGUUGUCCUGAAUAUUUUUCCCAACAGGAAAGCAAAAAAAUCUUGCCGCAACAAACCAAAACAUGUUCCCAUCUGAGGAGAACAGAAAGAUUUCAGGUGGACAACAAGGGCUGCUUUGGGUGUUGGUGGAAGAGAGACACUUUCGGGCCAAGCUUUAUGACAGAACAAAAGGGAUGCUGGGAAAAGCUGCUGCACUGCAGUCUUAUCAAGCGCAGGGUUAUAAACCUUGCUCAUUCAGGAUGCUGCCUGAGAAAAACCUAAGUAAAGAUCUCCCGUAUCAUAAUAAAGCAGAAAACAAAUGAAAGCUAGAUACACUUCAGUGCUCUUCUCUCUGCUUUCUCCUUGAGGCAAGAAUCUUUUGUUCCUCUUCCGAC